CCUACGGGUGGCAGCAGUGGGGAAUAUUGCACAAUGGGGGAAACCCUGAUGCAGCGACGCCGCGUGAGUGAAGAAGUAAUUCGGUACGUAAAGCUCUAUCAGCAGGGAAGAAAAUGACGGUACCUGACUAAGAAGCCCCGGCUAACUACGUGCCAGCAGCCGCGGUAAUACGUAGGGGGCAAGCGUUAUCCGGAUUUACUGGGUGUAAAGGGAGCGUAGACGGUGCGGCAAGUCUGGUGUGAAAUGCCGGAGCUUAACUGCGGAACUGCAUUGGAAACUGUCGAACUGGAGUGCGGGAGGGGUAAGCGGAAUUCCUAGUGUAGCGGUGAAAUGCGUAGAUAUUAGGAGGAACACCAGUGGCGAAGGCGGCUUACUGGACUGUAACUGACGUUGAGGCUCGAAAGCGUGGGGAGCAAACAGGAUUAGAUACCCUGGUAGUC
rnacentral:rRNA from 1 species